rnacentral:rRNA from 1 species
CACAAGCGGUGGAGCAUGUGGUUUAAUUCGACGCAACGCGAAGAACCUUACCAGGGCUUGACAUCCCCUGACCGCGUAUGAAAGUACGUUUUCACCCUCGGGUGACAGGGAGACAGGUGCUGCAUGGCUGUCGUCAGCUCGUGUCGUGAGAUGUUGGGUUAAGUCCCGCAACGAGCGCAACCCUCGUCUUUAGUUGCCAGCAUUCAGUUGGGCACUCUAAGGAGACUGCCGGUGUUAAACCGGAGGAAGGCGGGGAUGACGUCAAGUCCUCAUGGCCCUUAUGUCCAGGGCUACACACGUGCUACAAUGGCCGGUACAAAGGGUAGCAAGACCGCGAGGUGGAGCCAACCCCAAAAAGCCGGUCUCAGUUCGGAUUGGAGUCUGCAACUCGACUCCAUGAAGUUGGAAUCGCUAGUAAUCGUGGAUCAGCAUGCCACGGUGAAUACGUUCCCGGACCUU